rnacentral:rRNA from 1 species
UCUGGUAUUGAUUGGUGCUUGCAUCAUGAUUUACAUUUGAGUGAGUGGCGAACUGGUGAGUAACACGUGGGAAACCUGCCCAGAAGCGGGGGAUAACACCUGGAAACAGAUGCUAAUACCGCAUAACAACUUGGACCGCAUGGUCCGAGCUUGAAAGAUGGCUUCGGCUAUCACUUUUGGAUGGUCCCGCGGCGUAUUAGCUAGAUGGUGGGGUAACGGCUCACCAUGGCAAUGAUACGUAGCCGACCUGAGAGGGUAAUCGGCCACAUUGGGACUGAGACACGGCCCAAACUCCUACGGGAGGCAGCAGUAGGGAAUCUUCCACAAUGGACGAAAGUCUGAUGGAGCAACGCCGCGUGAGUGAAGAAGGGUUUCGGCUCGUAAAACUCUGUUGUUAAAGAAGAACAUAUCUGAGAGUAACUGUUCAGGUAUUGACGGUAUUUAACCAGAAAGCCACGGCUAACUACGUGCCAGCAGCCGCGGUAAUACGUAGGUGGCAAGCGUUGUCCGGAUUUAUUGGGCGUAAAGCGAGCGCAGGCGGUUUUUUAAGUCUGAUGUGAAAGCCUUCGGCUCAACCGAAGAAGUGCAUCGGAAACUGGGAAACUUGAGUGCAGAAGAGGACAGUGGAACUCCAUGUGUAGCGGUGAAAUGCGUAGAUAUAUGGAAGAACACCAGUGGCGAAGGCGGCUGUCUGGUCUGUAACUGACGCUGAGGCUCGAAAGUAUGGGUAGCAAACAGGAUUAGAUACCCUGGUAGUCCAUACCGUAAACGAUGAAUGCUAAGUGUUGGAGGGUUUCCGCCCUUCAGUGCUGCAGCUAACGCAUUAAGCAUUCCGCCUGGGGAGUACGGCCGCAAGGCUGAAACUCAAAGGAAUUGACGGGGGCCCGCACAAGCGGUGGAGCAUGUGGUUUAAUUCGAAGCUACGCGAAGAACCUUACCAGGUCUUGACAUACUAUGCAAAUCUAAGAGAUUAGACGUUCCCUUCGG